rnacentral:lncRNA from 1 species
AAAAACAGAUUCUUAAGACUUCUCUCAGGCCAUCCUACCUGAAAUUUCAGCAAAGAAAUAUGUAGUUAGACCUACUUAAUAAAAUUUUGAAAUGUCAUUCUACACUCAACAGGAAAAUUUUUGGCUGCUAAUAUUAAAGGAAACAAAAAGAACUAUAAGUUUGGAAAGGAGAGCUCAUCUGGUCCACUUAGUCUUGGGAAGCCUGGAGAAGAGAAACUGCUCCCUUGCUGGAUUCAGUUGAUUGUUAUGGAUUCUACAGCUUCUUUUGAGGUUUCCCAUGGCAGCCUCAUGCUCUGCAUCCCCAUUACAUGCAACAUCUGAAAAGACAACCCUUCCAUCCAUCCAUCCAUGGAUGCCUGCCACCAAGCUCUGAACUAACAUAAGCCACACAUAUGCCAUCAUAUUUGUUUGGGUUUCAGUUUGCACUGCGGUCCAGACUCCGCAGUUUCUUGCUCUCCAGCUUGAGCAUGAGGUGGCCUAGGUGGGCAGGUUGGCAGGAGUAGUUCCUCAUGGGCAGGGGGAAUGCACUGGAGUUCUGUCUUUACACAUCCUGUAAAUGUUUGUAGAUCCUGGCCCAAGCUUAUGUCAAUAGAACAGCUCUCAGUUCACAAACAAAAGGUGAAGAAGGAUCUUCCCUUAGGGAAUGGAUGGGACUGACCAGGACUGUGAGAUGUACUUUUCCUUUUUAAGAUGAUUUUCACAAGACACUUGGAUGGCAAGUCACUACAGAGUUCUUAGUUGUUCACAAACUACUGUCUGCAGGGCAGACCUGAGUACGCGACAGAAGUCACAGGGUCACCUCUAUGAUGGAUCCUCACCACACCUCAGACUCAGCCUGCUUCCCAAUUCAGAGCUGGUGGCAUCCUCCAGGACACAUUUUUUCCAGACAUCUCCAAGCACAGCCAGACCCCUGCUACAGCCCAAGAGCUGGCUGCUGAUAUACCUGAAGGAGAGACAUGUCUCCACCAUGCACACUCUGAACAAAUUCUGAUGUUCAUGUAGACCAGGCACUGAGAGUAGAUGAUAUGGCAGAGAAGCUGCAAGAAAACUAGAGAACUGAAGUCUGGGCCAAGAAGGACCAUGCUAAGCUGAAGUCAGCUACAACAGACUAGGCUCCACUUGAACUUUCUGGCCUAUGAAUCUAGGACAAAAAAAGCCAGACAGACAACUCUUCAAGGUCUUUCUUUUCUAAGUGCUGGACAGUGCCAGAACUGCUACCAGAGCACAGUGUGCUAGUUCCCGCUGCUAAAGGCUCAGACUUGCCUGACUCAUGCAUCUCAACACCUAUCCUGGAAAAGCAAAAGAAGUUGAGCCGGGACUCUGUAGAGGCAGGAGACUGCUUUGGGUGCCAGGCAGCCAACGCAGGGGACAUAAGCCGAAACAUCUGCAAAGGAAGUGCUGACUAAAGCCCCAAGACCCUGCAGGAACUUUGUCUGCUGAAGUGUUUGGCACUGAAUACUUUGGGCUUCAUCUUCAAUUACUAGAAAAGUUGGAAGUAGUGUGGCUCCUCUUUUAAUGGCUGUAGUGGGUAAGGACGACAGAUGUGCUCUCUGAAGCAGCCCACACUACUGUUGUUAUUUUUCCCUCAAUGAUAUUAUACCUCCACGAACCUAAUUAUCCUUUGUUCUUAAUGGUCUCUUAUUAGGCCAGCUGCCCAAAUUUUACUGUUUCUAAAAGAAUAAAUGUGCUGAAGUUGUCUGCA